GAGGCAGCAGUGGGGAAUAUUGCACAAUGGGCGAAAGCCUGAUGCAGCAACGCCGCGUGAGGGAUGACGGCCUUCGGGUUGUAAACCUCUUUUAGCAGGGAAGAAGCGAAAGUGACGGUACCUGCAGAAAAAGCGCCGGCUAACUACGUGCCAGCAGCCGCGGUAAUACGUAGGGCGCAAGCGUUAUCCGGAAUUAUUGGGCGUAAAGAGCUCGUAGGCGGUCUGUCGCGUCUGCUGUGAAAACCCGAGGCUCAACCUCGGGCCUGCAGUGGGUACGGGCAGACUAGAGUGCGGUAGGGGAGAUUGGAAUUCCUGGUGUAGCGGUGGAAUGCGCAGAUAUCAGGAGGAACACCGAUGGCGAAGGCAGAUCUCUGGGCCGUAACUGACGCUGAGGAGCGAAAGGGUGGGGAGCAAAC
rnacentral:rRNA from 1 species